CCUACGGGGAGCAGCAGUGGGGAAUAUUGGACAAUGGGGGGAACCCUGAUCCAGCCAUGCCGCGUGUGUGAAGAAGGCCCUCGGGUUGUAAAGCACUUUCAGUGAGGAAGAACGCCUGGUGGUUAAUACCCAUCAGGAAAGACAUCACUCACAGAAGAAGCACCGGCUAACUCCGUGCCAGCAGCCGCGGUAAUACGGAGGGUGCGAGCGUUAAUCGGAAUUACUGGGCGUAAAGCGCGCGUAGGUGGCUUGAUAAGCCGGUUGUGAAAGCCCCGGGCUCAACCUGGGAACGGCAUCCGGAACUGUCAAGCUAGAGUGCAGGAGAGGAAGGUAGAAUUCCCGGUGUAGCGGUGAAAUGCGUAGAGAUCGGGAGGAAUACCAGUGGCGAAGGCGGCCUUCUGGACUGACACUGACACUGAGGUGCGAAAGCGUGGGUAGCAAACAGGAUUAGAUACCCGGGUAGUC
rnacentral:rRNA from 1 species